GCCUUGCUAGCUCAAUGGAUAGAGCAACAGCCUUCUAAGCUGCAGGUUACAGGUUCGAGUCCUGUGCAAGGCG
rnacentral:tRNA from 1 species